rnacentral:rRNA from 1 species
UACGGGAAGGGUGCAAACGUUGUCUCGGAAUUAUUGGGCGUAAGCGCACGUAGGCGGCAUUGCAAGUCGAUGUGAAAUCCCGUCGGCUUAACCAAGGAAGUGCAUCCGAAACUGCAGUGUGCUUGGAGUACUUGAAGAGGAUCGCGGAAAUUCCCGGUGUAGAGGUGAAAUUCGUAGAUAUCGGGGAGGAACACCCAGGUG